GUGUCAGUAGGUUGGUCUUGCCACCGGUACGUACUGGUCUCACUGAUUCCUCCUUCCUGAAGAACCGUAAUGCCAUUAAUUUGGUGUUGCGGGGAAACAGGACUGUUACUUUGAAAAAAUUAGAGUGUUUAAAGCAAGCUAACGCUUGAAUACAUUAGCAUGGAAUAAUGAAAUAGGACGAUCGAUCCUAUUUUGUUGGUUUCUAGGAUUGACGUA
rnacentral:rRNA from 1 species